rnacentral:rRNA from 1 species
CCUACGGGUGGCAGCAGUGGGGAAUUUUGGACAAUGGGCGCAAGCCUGAUCCAGCUAUUCCGCGUGUGGGAAGACGGCCUUCGGGUUGUAAACCACUUUUGUAGAGAACGAAAAGUCUGUUGAUAAUACCGAUAGAUGAUGACGGUACUCUAAGAAUAAGCACCGGCUAACUACGUGCCAGCAGCCGCGGUAAUACGUAGGGUGCGAGCGUUAAUCGGAAUUACUGGGCGUAAAGGGUGCGUAGGCGGUUUGGCAAGAUGAGUGUGAAAGCCCCGGGCUGAACCUGGGAAAGCCAUACAUGACUGCAAGACGAGAGUGCGUCAGAGGGGGGUGGAAUUCCAAGUGUAGCAGUGAAAUGCGUAGAUAUUUGGAAGAACACCGAUGGCGAAGGCAGCCCCCUGGGACGCAACUGACGCUGAGACACGAAAGCGUGGGGAGCAAACAGGAUUAGAUACCCUAGUAGUC